GGAAUGCUGACAGAAGAACCAGCUGACUCUGACGUGAUGUUCAUCUCCUCCAAAGGCUCAAUCAGUCACCUUGGCGACAGGAAGCAGAGAGAAACAGGAAGCAAGAUGGCAGCGGAGGCGAAUGACAGAAAUGGAAAAAAAAACUGGAGAGAUAGAGCUUCAAGGUGUAGACACAGAGGAAAUCUUUAACAACUGAAAGCACAGGUCGGGCUUCCCACUGAUGCCUCGGUUGCAAAGUCUCUACUCAACAGAUCGGAACACCUGACUGGGCUGCGGACUCUUGGAUUCCAGAACUUUUCUUGUCUGAUCUGUAUCCCUGACCUGGAUCGGAUCCCUAGCUGCUCACUGA